UAAGAUAAACAACAAACUUUUAUUUGACUGGGCCUUUGAAGGAGCACAAUAACCAGAGGCGCAGAAUGCAUUAUUUACCUCAGGAAGCGAUCAUGAAUUAUACAGAAAGUUGUCUGAGAGCCCCUGGGAGCUGUGACCUGUGGGGAUUUGUGAAGGAGGGAGUGCAUCGGUGGCAGCUUGCUCUGCGCUGCAGCAUGUGUCACACCCCACGGGCUCUAAUGGGGGAGCUGACCUCCACGGUAACCAGGAGGGAACAGCAAGGAGGUGGAGAACAAAAGCCUAUCCUUAGCAUACUUUAAAGUCCUUAACCUAGAUACAAAGCGUGCCUGUAAAUGAAAAGGCAGCCCUCGGAUUUUAGCUUAAGCCAAACAAAAUGAACUGGUUAUGGAAAAAUAGUUUUCUCUUGUUGACUACCGAGCAUCAGUUUUACAUUGGAGAUGAAGGGCGGAUAGAGUUUAACAGCGGUUACUCCGAGCUUCCCGUUGCCCUUGCAUUAUGGUUUUAGCCAAACGGAAAGCCUGGACCAAUUCGGGGUUUUGUUUUGUUGUUGUUGUUGUUUUAAUGUCAGUAUUAAAACAGCUGAUGAUGAAUUAAGUCAGAUGGCUUUGAAUGUGUGAUUUGAUUUAUUCCUCCAUAGAUGCUGGCUGGGGUGCCUAGAAAAAUCUCAGUUCCUCCUAUAUGCACCACAUAUUUUGGAUUUAAUUUCUAGGUCGUUCAAAACAGAAACCUUCUUUAAUGUACUUUAUCAGUGUCUUCAGAUUCUGUUGGGCUUGGGACCAGUAGGAGAUGGAUCGUGUCAGUGUGGAUGGAGCUUGAUGUUGGUGUGCUUUUCAUCAAAGAGGUGAUAUGGCACUGCCAUAUUAAUUUCCUUCUCUAAGCCCCACCUGAAAAUUUUUAAUGACAGUGAAGGCAAUAAGGUCAUGAUUUUGUGGACGUGUACAAGCUGGCAAUUGCUGACUUGCUACUAAUUUGUUCCACUAAUUUGUUUGGACAGACCAGAUUUUGACUGGGCUCCUGCCAAAUUAGACCAACUUAGGCUGAAUCAGGUUAUACCAUGAUGCAGGCUGCAAACACAGAAAUGCUUGGCUCAAGAAGUGAAAAGGGGGAAAGGGAAAUCCUAAGUGUCCUGGGCUGCCAAAAGGCAAAAUUGCUUUCAGUGUUCCAGCUCCAUCUGGCAUCUGCAGGGCAAAGGAUCUGUGAGGGAAGGUGGGAUGGAUGGCAGUGAACACAAACACAUCAUUCUGUCCUCUAUUUCCUCAGUCCAUUGAAGCCUGAGGAUGCCCUUCCCACUUCCCACCUGGGAGCACGCUCUUGGCAUUGCAGGGCAAGGUGACAGUAGCAGCCACAUCCCCGAACCUUGGUCCUUUAUAUCAAAAAAAUGGAUCUUCUGGGAUAACCUGUGGGCUGUUCCAUACCCAAUCCUGCCAGGGAGACCAUUAGAAUCCUUAUGACCUAGGUUCUCACCACUGUUACUGACUUAUGUGAACGUACCUUGAGAAAGUACACAAGAUGCUUUACUGCAUUUUUAUUUGAAAGCUCACAUUUCAGUCUGAUUCAUGCCAUAUUUCCUCAAGUGAGCAUAUUUCAGCUUGUGUUUAGGUUGCAUCAAGGUUGUGGAGGGAAGACUGCAUCAUGGAUCGCACUUCAUGGACUGCUGGAGUGAUUAUAGAUGCAGAAAUCAAAGGGGAUGAAGAGGAGAAAAGCAAAUCCUCCAUGGUGUAGCAGAGCAUCAGGACUGUGCUGUGCUGAGCCUUGGAUAAAGCAUGGGAGAGCUGAGGCCAUUUUUAUCAGAAGUACACUAAGAUUCCAUUAUUUGAGCUGAUCUUGGGCAACAAAGCAUGCUCUUUGGCUGAUUGGUUGGUUGGAUGGCUGGUUGGGUGGUAGUUUGUCCUGCUGGUUGUUGGUUGCCUGGUUUGGUUGGUUGGUUGGUUGAUUGGUCUAGCUGGUUGGUUGGUUAGUUGACUGAUUGAUUGGUUGGUUGGCUAGUUGGCUGGUUAGUUGAUUUGUUGGCUGGUUGGCUGGUUUGUUGGUUGGUGGAUUGGGGUGGUUCAUUUGCAUGACUGAUUAGUUGGCUGAUUGGUUGGCUGGUUUUGGUUGGCUGGUUUGGUUGGUUGGCUCAUUGGUUGCCUGGUUUGAUCAGUUAAUGGGUUGGCUGGUUUGGUUGACUGGUUUGAUUGGUUAGUUGGCAGGUUUGGUUGGUUAGUUGGCAGGUUUGUCUGGUUGGUUGUUUGGUUCACUGGUAGGCUGGUUUGGUCGGUUGGUGAGUUGGCUGGUUUGAUUGCAUCGUUGGUUAGUUGGCUGUUUGGUUGGCUGGUUUGUUUCAUUUGGUUUGCUUUAAUGGAGUUGGUGGCCUUCAGGCUUUUGUGGGACGUGUUCAACUACAGAGUGGGACAAAAUCCUGAUUAAGAAAAUAGCUGUGAAGCUCCUUGACUGAGGAAGGGUCUUUUUAUUAUUAUCCUUUACAUAUUUAUUUGACAGUCAUAGACAACAGAUGAUGAUGAAUCUUUUUCUGCAUACUUCAUGUGGUCAAAAAAGGAUUUGGCGUCUUUGGAUGCCUGAAUUGUUCGUAUUGUUGUUCUUAAGGUUACAGACUGCUAUAUGAUUGCUUUGUGUUCUUGGCACUAAAAUGAAAAUAAAAAUAAAAUUCAGAACACCCAUAUAUUCAUAACUGAUGGUUUUGUUUUGUACUGUUUUGUUUUCCUUAAAUAGUUGAAAUAGUUCAGCCUGAUUGACCAGACCAAGCCAUGGCGGUGAUAAUACGACUUAACAUGAUUUAUUCUAAGCAGCUUCGCUUGCAGUUUUCCUGGUGGAUGGCUUUCUUCCUGAAGUGGUGCUAAACCCCAUGAAAUACAGCAGAUCUCUAUGCAGAAUUGAGGGACGCUGAUGUUUGCUAAGUCAACCUGCAGCAAUUCCAGGCAGGUUCCUCUGAGCUCUCCGACUUGCACAUCUCAUCUGGAACGUUUUUUUAUCAGCAACACAGAGAGGGUUUCUCGCAGUUAAAUCCCCAACGUGUAUGUGGAAUUAAGGGCCACUGCAUACAUCCUGGUUAUCUCUAACUGUUCAAAC
ensembl:lncRNA